UACGUAGGAGGCAAGCGUUGUCCGGAAUUACUGGGCGUAAAGCGCACGUAGGCGGAUACUUAAGUCAGGGGUGAAAUCCCGGGGCUCAACCCCGGAACUGCCUUUGAUACUGGGUAUCUCGAGUCCGGAAGAGGUGAGUGGAAUUCCGAGUGUAGAGGUGAAAUUCGUAGAUAUUCGGAGGAACACCUGAGGUGAAGACGGGUUGCUGGGCUGACACUGACGCUGAGGCGCGAAAGCCAGGGGAGCAAACGGG
rnacentral:rRNA from 1 species